AUCUCAUUAGAAACUAGACUCAUUAAGGAGUCUAAGCAUAUAAAUUUUAUCUUAUAAUCAUUUUUGUACAAUUUAUAAUGAUUUUCUAAAAACAGAACAGGGAAUCCAGCAGUCAUUAUGACUCAGCCCCACAAUGCUUCAAAUAUCUCAAGAUCGGUAACUCUUUUGUUUUUAUAGUUUCUUUUGUAAGAAAAUAGACUCUUCAAGCUUUAAUGACAUAAUUCACUCAGCUUCUAAUUCAACUCCUAUAAUUUAUGGCGAUUUUCCAAAAUCACCUUACUGCUGCUGUCCCCAAACAGAUUAUCACCAAAUCAAAUACUAACAUUAGCAUUUCACCUUAAUAGCUAGCUUACCAAGUCUUGAUUUAACAUAUAAUUCACACAUAUCACAUUCAGCUAUAUAUAUAUACAUUUAUCAUAUUUAUUAUUAACAAAGUAUGCUCAUGACAAAUUUACUCCCAAUCGCAUCUCAAAAUUCAUCAAGCUUAGAACACAUUUACUAAUUAAAUUCGGUAGUUUAAUCACUUUACUAACCACUUAUACAUAUAAUUCCAUUCAACAUUAUAACCCAUUAUCACUCAUUUAGCCGAUUAUAGAGAAUUAAACAUAAUAUCUCUAGGAUAUACUCUACAUGGCCGAAUACACUACAUUAAUUUCCAACAUUACCUAGGUAAUUACCUAUAGGUUCUUAUACCUUAAAUUCACACAUUUAGCCUUUUAAUGCCUAUUGAUCGAUCCUUUGGUCCUAACAAGAACCAAUUAACAUGCAAGGAACCUAAUCAUAGAGGAAGAAAUUUACAUUCUAAAUAGGCUCAAUCUUUGACCGAAUGUACUAGGCUCCUCUAAGCCACUCAUCCAAAAAUCUUUACCCCAUUCUAGUCACUCUCCCAUUGUUCCAUCCUUGCAAAGCCUAUAGUUCACUCGGCCACUCAACCCACAACCUAUCGAAACUUCAAUUCAAACUCAUUAGCCGAAUAUACAUAUACUUAUAAUAAGCACAUAUAACAUCUUCUUCAAGACACAUUCGGCUAUGGCAUAAUUUCCUUAUAAAACCCAAUUAAUCAAUCCACCUUAACCGAAACUUAACUCAUACAAAACCUAUCUUCAAACCAUAAAAUAGGUAGAAGUUAAACUAAUCAUCCAAAUGGUGCAUAAGUUUUCCAAGAAUGACAUUGAACUUACCUUACUUUAGGUAUCCACCUUAGCCGAAUUUUCUUCCCCAAAGGCUUUUCUUCCUCUUCUUUCUCUAGUUACGGCAAUGGAGGAGAAAACAUAGGCUAACUUUGGUUUCUCCUCCCACUAACUUGUAUUUUAUUAACCUUAUUCAUUAUUUCAUUUUGUAACAUAAACUAUUAGCAUAAAAUAGUUAUAAUAUUAUUUAAUCCAUAACAUGGCCGGCCACCCUAUUUAACUUGGGUAAAUUGACAUGCAAAACCACUCCUUUCAAUGCAUGUACUAUUAGACCAUUGUAAAUUAGCCUCUCACUUUCCAACAAAGUUUCAUAUAAGUCCAAUAAAAAAAAUUCACAUAAAGAUGAUCAAAUUAAUGCAUGAGACUUUCACACAUGCAUUUACUCACAUCAUAAACACAGAAUAUAACUUUUAAUCAUUUAUAAGACUCGGUUUAGCAGUCCCGAAACCACUUCCCGACUAGGGUCAGUUUUGGGCUGUCACA
rnacentral:lncRNA from 1 species